UAUUAACUCUGGCUGCGUGCCUAAUACAUGCAAGUCGAGCGAACGGACGAGAAGCUUGCUUCUCUGAUGUUAGCGGCGGACGGGUGAGUAACACGUGGAUAACCUACCUAUAAGACUGGGAUAACUUCGGGAAACCGGAGCUAAUACCGGAUAAUAUUUUGAACCGCAUGGUUCAAAAGUGAAAGACGGUCUUGCUGUCACUUAUAGAUGGAUCCGCGCUGCAUUAGCUAGUUGGUAAGGUAACGGCUUACCAAGGCAACGAUGCAUAGCCGACCUGAGAGGGUGAUCGGCCACACUGGAACUGAGACACGGUCCAGACUCCUACGGGAGGCAGCAGUAGGGAAUCUUCCGCAAUGGGCGAAAGCCUGACGGAGCAACGCCGCGUGAGUGAUGAAGGUCUUCGGAUCGUAAAACUCUGUUAUUAGGGAAGAACAUAUGUGUAAGUAACUGUGCACAUCUUGACGGUACCUAAUCAGAAAGCCACGGCUAACUACGUG
rnacentral:rRNA from 1 species